GAGGUUGGAAGCCAACUUGGAGAUGGAAUUGCAACUGGGUUUUCGACACAAAAGAGUUCCCCAACAUAAAGCUUGCAAUCAGCUUCAUCCUCCUAUUCCGUGAAGAGAAAUUGGUGAUUUCGAUGAGAGAAUUGGCCUAGGCUCACGGUGAUUUGUACCGGGUACAAAUCAAGUACAGGAGCUGUGGUGUCACAAAUUUCAGAGUUCCAGAAAUUGAUUCGACGGUACCAGGCGAGGACAGCAGCUGCAGUCAGGACUCUAGAGCUUCAAUUUGAAGGUGAGUCUCUGUCUACUUAGACUUUGUUCAUAUUUUUUGUGUUAUUUGAGUUGGUGCUUUAAAGGCAGGUCCCUUUUAAUUUGA